rnacentral:lncRNA from 1 species
UUUGCGUCACUCAUGACGUGCAUUCCAUCUCUCUCUCUCUCUCUCUCUCCCUCUCUCUCCCCGAUCGUCAUUGCCCGCAUGGAAUGCGCCAAUGCUCUCUGGUAGACUUACCAGACUUUUCGCCACUGACAUUUACUGUCAAAAAUGUAUCAAAUAAACGUUGAUUGUUGAGUUUCACGGAUUCAAUUCCCUCCUUAACACUAGAAAAAGCAAGUUUUUUUCAUC